rnacentral:rRNA from 1 species
UACGAAGGGGGCUAGCGUUGCUCGGAAUUACUGGGCGUAAAGGGCGCGUAGGCGGCACUGUUAGUCAGGCGUGAAAGUCCUGGGCUCAACCUGGGAACUGCGCUUGAUACGGCAGAGCUAGAGGAUGGAAGAGGGUCGCGGAAUUCCCAGUGUAGAGGUGGAAUUCGUAGAUAUUGGGAAGAACACCGGUGGCGAAGGCGGCGACCUGGUCCAUUACUGACGCUGAGGCGCGACAGCGUGGGGAGCAAACAGG